rnacentral:misc_RNA from 1 species
UACAGAGGGUGCGCGCGUUACUCGGAUUUACUGGGCGUAAAGCGUGCGUGGGCGGCUUUUUAAGUCGGAUGUGAAAUCCCCGAGCUUAACUUGGGAAUUGCAUUCGAUACUGGGAAGCAAGAGUAGGGGAGAGGAUAGUAGAAUUCCAGGUGUAGCGGUGAAAUGCGUAGAGAUCUGGAGGAAUACCGAUGGCGAAGGCAGCCAUCUGGCCUAAUACUGACGCUGAGGUACGAAAGCGUGGGUAGCAAACAGG